rnacentral:rRNA from 1 species
AGUGAACGCUGGCGGUAGGCCUAACACAUGCAAGUCGAACGGCAGCACAGUAAGAGCUUGCUCUUACGGGUGGCGAGUGGCGGACGGGUGAGGAAUACAUCGGAAUCUACUUUUUCGUGGGGGAUAACGUAGGGAAACUUACGCUAAUACCGCAUACGACCUACGGGUGAAAGCAGGGGAUCUUCGGACCUUGCGCGAUUGAUUGAGCCGAUGUCGGAUUAGCUAGUUGGCGGGGUAAAGGCCCACCAAGGCGACGAUCCGUAGCUGGUCUGAGAGGAUGAUCAGCCACACUGGAACUGGGACACGGUCCAGACUCCUACGGGAGGCAGCAGUGGGGAAUAUUGGACAAUGGGCGCAAGCCUGAUCCAGCCAUACCGCGUGGGUGAAGAAGGCCUUCGGGUUGUAAAGCCCUUUUGUUGGGAAAGAAAAGCAGCAGGUUAAUACCCCGCUGUUCUGACGGUACCCAAAGAAUAAGCACCGGCUAACUUCGUG